CUGGUCACGAAAGCGGAGGCGCCAGGUCGACCUACAGCGCAGGCGCAACCGGACGGCUCCUUCCGCCCUUACGGGGCAUGUGCAGAACUAGCUCAACCCCUCUGGUCUCCGCUCCGGGUUCCCGCUGCAGACAGCUGGGCGAAAAGCUGAGCUUUCACUAGCAGAUCCACAAAGAUCACUCUGGCUGUUUCAUGAUUGGUCUGCAGGGGAAAGAGAGGCAGCAAAGAAACCAGGAGGCCAUGUAGUCAGUACAGGAGAGAAAACGGCAGCUUGGAGUAGGGCGGCCAUGGGAGAAGGACUUGGAUGGAUUGAGACCUGAUUGUGAGAGACAGUACUUCAAAGACCUGAAAGAAAUUUGAUAGGGUUCUUGAGUGGAAUUUGUAAGACUGCAACCCACAACUCAUCUGUGCUCCAAAUUUUCACCUGUCUACGGUGGACUCAGGUUGGAAGUCUGGAACCUUAUCAAAAGAACCACAUGGCACUGAGAUGUUUCCUAGAAGUGCUCUCACUUCCUAGUGGAUGUGUUUCAUUGUAAUGCAGGAUCCAUCAAUGAUUCAGAGUACUGUGGUUUUGAAAUGAUUAAUAUGUAAUGGUUGUAACAGUGUGAGUCAUAUGAAGAAGGGGAAAAGGUGUGAGGAAAUAAAAACAUUAUAGGAAAGUACACCACGAAGCUGUGAACAUGAUUACUCAUGAAUAAGAGAGUAUAAUGAGUGUACAGACCUGGUCAUUCCUAUUUCCUCCUCAUCUGGAAAAUGCAAAUUACUAAUCUCACAGGAUAUAUGUAGUGAAUCACAUAUGAAAUUGUCAUGGAUUUUACUUUUAUUAUUCACUCAACAGACAUUUGUGGAACUCCCAAUAUGUGCUAGGUGUACAACUGAAUAGAUAGAUAGGUAGGGAAAUAGGUAGGUAGAUAGAUGAUUGAUUAGAUAGAUG